GUUGGCCGGUGUAUGUUGCUCCAUCCAGUCCAGGCCCCCUCAUAUUGAAUAUGCAAGUAGGGGCACUGAUAUGGUCUUCAGGGAUGGUCUUGACACCAUUUCUGGGACAGUCUCCUAACAAGUCAGGACUUGGCAUCAUGGGCCACAGAACCAUAGCAAAAUCAUCCAAUCCAGGCAUGUAACCUACAGUACGUUGACCUACGUAGCCAUGUACAGGACAAGACAUGCAAAGGAAUGGAUGGCCAUGACUCACUUUCUGGGACAGGGAGAUCGAUCACCUGAACGGGCAGUCUCUGCUCUUCCUGCAUCGAUCUCUGAAUUCAAUUUUGUAAAAAAAAAAGCACCUUUUCCCCAAUUUGUUUCCCUAGUGAAUGACAUGUAGGGCAGGUAUGGAAAACAAUAUGUCUGGGUUAAGAUAAGACCCACUGGGUUGUUAGAAUUUGGACAUCAUAAAUGUUACAUUGGUAAACUAGAGUUCUACACAUCAUACCUUUAAUUGCUGAGUGUUUCUUUUUGAUUAUGCAAAACAGCUCCAUUUUCUUAAAUCAUAUCAGUUAUGUGAUCUUCUAUGCCCAGAUGACAGAAGUUGUCCAAAAUAAUAUAGCAGUCUUGUCUUAACCAAGAAUGCCCUUCUAACCUUUUCUCACAAUCUCACAAUCCAACCCCUUUGAAAUUUCUUGAAUUACUCUUUUGGCUCCAGUAGUUCCCCAAAAGCCCCUGAGGGGUAGAAAAACCUACACCAUUUUCUCUCUUCCUUAAUAACUAUUUACUCCCAACCUGGUAGCAGGUCCAGAACACAAGAUAUCAAAACCGGAUGUUCCACAGCAGCACUCACCUCACCUCACCUACAUGAAGUCCCAUCCUCAUCCUCAUCAAGAGGGUCAGGGACCAUGGUUGCCUCCAGCACAAGUCUUCGCCAUCCCUAAAUCUAGUCAUUUUGGGGUCUCAUCACAUAUGGCUUAUAUGUCAAGAUUAUCUAUCCAGGCACUCUCGAUGUAUACCGUCCAUCCACAUACAAACAUAAAACAAAAUUCAACCUUGUCUACGAAGAUAAAAAAGUGUAGUAUGAUACUUGUCAUACAACACCUUAUAGUCCUGGGUGACAGUUCUUUAUAGUGUGUAAAGGAACAAUACCUUAAUGUGCCUUAGGGCAUGGUGGGUCAUAAAUUUUGAGUCAUAAAUCUGUAAUGUUUUUUGAUCACUUGACAGCUUGUUCGAGUGUCCUUGAACCUUACACUGUAACCUUUGGGUGGUAGGACUAUUAUGUAACCUUAGGCCACACUGACUUAAUUGUGUGGAUGACAUAACGUUACAUAGUACAUUGAUUUUUUGCCUGUUCUGAAAAAAACAAACCAAACUGUGGCCUCUUGUCACCCAAGAGCAUCCCUGGUCAAUCAGAAAUUUAUGGUUGCCAGAGGAUCUGCUCUCCAGGGUAAGGGGCACAUGGUCAGGGCAUGGGGCCACAACACUCUUGUUCCCUCUUUAAACAAGAUUGAAAUGGCAUUAAUUGUCUAUUACAGUCUUGCUAGUGGUGAACAUAGGACAAGUCAAGCCUGGGAAAGAAUGGACUGGAUGUUUAGUCCUGUGGAUUAUAUAGCAGCAUUUUUUUUACUGAAUUUUUCUUUUUUUUUCACUCGCUUGACUUACAUGGAGCAGCACCGACGCUGUGAGGCAGAGACUAAGAGACGGUCUGCCUAAACACC